GCCAUGCUGACUACACUGGUUCUUGGCCGGUCACCGAAGUUAAGCAGCGUCGGGCUCGGUCAGCAUUUGGAUGGAUGACCACCUGGGAACACCGCGUGAUGUU